UCCUGAGCCAUAUCAACCUGUAGUUCUCACCUGGUUUCCAACUAAAGCUAAGCAGGGUUGAGCCUGGCCAGUACCUGGAUGGAAGAUCUCCUAAGGAAAAUUAAGGUUGCUGUUGGAA
rnacentral:rRNA from 1 species